UUACGGCCACAUCACGCUGAAACACCGGUUUCCGUACGAUCACCGAAGUUAAGCAACGUCGAGCCUGGCCAGUACUUAGAUGGGUGAUCACUUGGGAAUAUCAAGCGCUGUAAG